ensembl:rRNA 5S_rRNA 5S ribosomal RNA
AGUAAUGACUCAUAUCACCCUGCAGCCCAAGACCAGUUACACACUGAAGCUAAGCAGGGCUGAGCCUGGUCAAUACCUGGAUGGUAGACCACAUGGGAAAGCUAGGGUGCUGUUGAAA